GAUGAACGCUGGCGGCGUGCCUAAUACAUGCAAGUCGAGCGAACAGACGAGGAGCUUGCUCCUCUGACGUUAGCGGCGGACGGGUGAGUAACACGUGGAUAACCUACCUAUAAGACUGGGAUAACUUCGGGAAACCGGAGCUAAUACCGGAUAAUAUAUUGAACCGCAUGGUUCAAUAGUGAAAGACGGUUUUGCUGUCACUUAUAGAUGGAUCCGCGCCGCAUUAGCUAGUUGGUAAGGUAACGGCUUACCAAGGCAACGAUGCGUAGCCGACCUGAGAGGGUGAUCGGCCACACUGGAACUGAGACCCGUUCCAGACUCCUACGGGAGGCAGCAGUAGGGAAUCUUCCGCAAUGGGCGAAAGCCUGACGGAGCAACGCCGCGUGAGUGAUGAAGGUCUUCGGAUCGUAAAACUCUGUUAUUAGGGAAGAACAAAUGUGUAAGUAACUAUGCACGUCUUGACGGUACCUAAUCAGAAAGCCACGGCUAACUACGU
rnacentral:rRNA from 1 species